UUGCUAUGAUGAUAUACACUUAGUUUUGCUCACUACUGAUGUGCAGUGAGGAUGGUUUCCUUUUGGCUGCCAGCAU
rfam:Alligator sinensis unplaced genomic scaffold scaffold138_1, whole genome shotgun sequence